AAAACAACACCAAAAUCACUUGUUAGUACUUCUAAAAUACUCUCCAAGAUAGCAAAAUCAUGAAAUUAAUGGUAUAAUAGAAUGAGUGUAAAUCACUCAUCACCUUC
rnacentral:sRNA from 1 species